UACGUAGGUGGCAAGCGUUGUCCGGAUUCACUGGGCGUAAAGCGCGCGCAGGCGGUCUUCUACGUCUGGGGUGAAAACCCGGGGCUCAACCCCGGGACUGCCUUGGAUACGGGGAGACUUGAGGAUCGGAGAGGCAAGGGGAAUUCCACGUGUAGCGGUGAAAUGCGUAGAGAUGUGGAGGAACACCGAUGGCGAAGGCAGCCUCCUGGGCUAGUACUGACGCUCAUGCACGAAAGCGUGGGGAGCAAACAGG
rnacentral:rRNA from 1 species